UGUUUUUGAAAUGAUAUAUUUUGGUUCAUCUAAGAUGGAUCAGUCAAAGUUUUUCUAAUGCAUACCAGAGAGCCAAAAAUCAAAACCAUACUGCUGUAUUAACAAGAAUACAUUUAGUGGACAAAAGUAAAUAAUGUAGUACUUUCACUAGAUAGCCAUGAUCUUGGGAAAACUGAACAAAAUUGAUCCGAAGACAAAUGCCCAAAAAUAACAGAUAAGAUGGUGUAUCUAUAGGUAGAACAAGUAGGAAGUCCUACUCAAGAACUAGAAGUACAGAGAUAUGGCAAAAUGCAAAAGCAUCUUCAAAAAUA
rnacentral:lncRNA from 1 species